AUUGCGCGAUACAUUCCUACCGCGUGGAUUUCGAGAAAUUUAAAGAUUGGUUCGCCUUCACCGGCUUGGAUUCCCGGGGUCACGGCCCGCAACUCCCGAUCGAGAUCACUUACGCCAAAACCGAUCAUCCGAUCACUCGCGGCCUGGGAAACUGGAUCACCAUCAAGGAAGAACUUUACAACAACGUGCAGGUUAUGGACUCCGUGACGCCCCUCGCUCGCGGCAAACAGUCGGUUCCCCAGCGGGAAGGCGCGCCCAAGGAAGUGGACUGCAUGGUUACGUGGGUCAACAAUUACAGUGGAACGCGUGUGUUCAAUACAACGAUCGGACACAACAACGAAACCUGCGGGGACGCGCGCUAUCUCGAUCUGAUCACGCGUGGCUUGCUCUGGGCCUGCGGCAAACUCGACGACAACGGACUGCCGAAAGCUGGUUACGGGAAAUAGUUCAGCCGGUUUUGAAAUCUGGCAUUCAGGCUCAGCCUUAUGGGGCGGUGGCGGGCGCCGGAGUUACAACGGCCGGGCGUCGCCGGCCUUUGGGAUCAAGAUUCUCUUUGAUCUCAGCAUCGCUCACCGUUGAUUCCACUCCGCCGGCAGGGACUUCAACCUUUGCGGUCCAGAGAAUCGCAUUGAGCAUGAGUUUCCGCAUAUCAUCGUUCUUCCAGUUCUUGUGAUGAUGACCGCCCGUGAAGCAGAAACCGCGUCGCCCCUGGACAUCUUCAAACGCCCAGGCCACCGGCUGAGGUUCUCCCUUUUCAAUGGCUUUGCGCACGUCUGGGUUGCCGCUGUGGUCCCCGUCAGGGCGCGUUAAGGUUUCCGCGGUCGGACGGCCGGUAAGAAUUGGGGUUACGCCUUUCAGGUCUGCCCCGAACCGCAUAUGGUAAUACCAUUCAUCCUCGAUUUUGAACGGCUUCACGCCCCGGGUGAUUGGAUGAUCGGGUAGUUUGG
rnacentral:misc_RNA from 1 species